rnacentral:rRNA from 1 species
UACGUAGGGGGCAAGCGUUGUCCGGAAUCAUUGGGCGGAAAGAGCUCGUAGGCGGUCUGUCGCGUCUGCUGUGAAAACUCAGGGCUUAACCCUGAGCUUGCAGUGGGUACGGGCAGACUAGAGUGCGGUAGGGGAGACUGGAAUUCCUGGUGUAGCGGUGGAAUGCGCAGAUAUCAGGAGGAACACCGGUGGCGAAGGCGGGUCUCUGGGCAGUAACUGACGCUGAGGAGCGAAAGCGUGGGGAGCGAACAGG